rnacentral:lncRNA from 1 species
GAAAAAUGUUACAAAGCGACAGCGAGGAUUUGGCCGUUAAUAACGACUCAAAUUUCGGUCUGUAACUUUACAAAAUAGUGUAACAUAGCUUUAGAAAACUUGAAAUAUAAUGCAAUAGUCAUAUAGGCUAUAUUUAUGAUAUUUUUAUGAUUUUUUUGUCCGUUUUGACGCUUAACAGUCCCUGGUCUCACACUGUUCUAUUGAGGAGAAAUGAAAAGCAGUUAGGACUUCUUCAAAAAAUCGUACUGUGUUCUCUACAGAAAAACCAUACUCGUCUUGAACGACACGGGGUACCUUGUUUUUCUCAGCUUGAGGCAAUGGCCCUGGCCAUAAUCCAUCCUUGGUUGGAAGUGGUUGCGAAGACGUUGCUAUGUAGUUGCUAAGGUAGUAAUUGUUGGCACAUCACUAGAGUAGUCUGGCUGGUUGCUUGGUGGAUGCUUACCCAUUUACCCCCAAGUUUAUAUUAUUUUUUUGGUCUGCUAUAGAUGUGGCUUCUAGGGCUGCUCGAUUAUGACAAAAAUCAUAAUCACAAAUAUUUUGAGCAUUGUUGUAAUAACGAUUAUUUAAAACUAUUAUCAGUGGACCAUAUGACCAAAACUUUAUAUGAAAGAUUUAUUUAAAGAUAGUGAGAGAAAAUGUAUAUUUAGAGACCAGUGAAAUGUCACAAUUUUCAAUACCACAGCAGAAUACCACAGUAACUCAUAUUAGUUUUAAAAAAACAACAAAAAAGAUCCUCAAAAUUAUUGAAAAGAAUUAAACUGUAAUAAAUAAGCAAAGGAAUACAAUGCCAGUAAUAAAAAAAAAUCAAGAGAAUACAAUAGAAUAAAAAAAUAUACAAAUGAAACAAACUGUGCUUUAAGUUUUUUUUUUAAUGCAAGUCUAAAGUAUUAAUUUAACAGCUUACUAGAGAAAUUGAAAUACCUAAUAUAAAAUAAAACCACGUAGUCUUCACUGUAAGAAUUAAACUUCCUUUGUUUCUUAUUAAAGCUACAGAAGUCCUUCAGUGAGUGAUUUUGAAUGUGUCUUUUGUUGUUUGAUUAAUAUUAAGCACACAGUGGGCAGCAGGAAUAUAGCCCGCGGUCACUUUAAGAGCCACUCGGAUACAAUUUACUGUUUUCAUUCUCAACUCUUUACAUUCAUUUAUUACAUAACCGACGAGGGUUUACUUGAAUAAUGACUAAGCACCACAAUUCGACAAAUUUUUGUGUAUUUGACCGUUUAUGCGCUAAAAGAUGACUUUAACAACAAUGUCCAUGUUGUGUUCCAUUUCUGAGCGGGUACACCGUAAUCUUCCAAAGGAAACGCAAGUUCUUUCACACUUUUAAAAACAUAAAUAAAACAAAUAAACUUAAAUCAAGCAUGUCCCGUUUUGAAAAAGUCUCGUUUCAUGAUUUUACUGAUUUGCCUGUGUAAUUGGGCUUUUAUGGAGGAACAAAAGAGCACCGCUGGAAUGGGGCACAAUAAUCCUUUUAUAACGAUUACUGUAUUUUCAUAAUCGUUGGAGGCCGACAUUGAAACUGAAUUUCGAUUAAUUGCACAGCCCUAGCUAGUGGUUUCUUUAAUGGGAUUUUUUUUCUUCUCCUAGCAAGAGUUGUCAAUCCACUGACUUACUAGAAAUGUAAUAGCACACUAUCAAACUGCAUGAUUUGAGGUAUCAUUCAUAUCAGUGGCACAAUAAUAUUAAUAAUAAUGCUUUAAAGUUUAAGAAAUAUUAAAAAUUGCAGAAUUAAAGUGAGGGGAAAAACAUUCAGGCAAAAAGUUAACUCAAAAUAAGGU